GUAUGCUGGGUAAUGGCACAGCUAGCAACUGGGUGACUUUAUUCACCCGCUUCGGCUGUUAUCAGUCCAUACAAUGGGCGUUAUUAGCACAAAUCAGUCCCAUAGAUGUGGGCCAUCUCCUGCUAGAUUGUUCAGAAGGUUGUUAUCAUCCAUCCAGAUGGAGGAUCAGUAACAGGAGCGUGGGAAGACUCCAGAAUCCACUCUGGCUGGAAUCCGGUGGAUACAGCAGUGUUACAGGUACAGUACGUGAUGUUAAGGGCAGGCGGUCAUCACCGGGGGAAGAAAAGAAGCAGACGUACUUCCAAGAGGGAGCUGCAGUGAGGACACAGCC
ensembl:lncRNA